CCCGCCUUUCAGCACUCACUCUUGCCUCACCUGUCCUCACCCAUCCUGUCCCUGGGGGGGGGGGGUGCACUCAGGACAUGCCCUCUCUGGGGUGGAGGCCAGGGGCCCUCGGUGGGGGGCCCGACACUGGAUCUCCCAGCACAGGCCUGGCCCAUAGACCCACCAGUCGAUGCAUAUCACCAGUGAGCAUCUUUAGGCAGCCAGAAAAAGUGAGGUAGGGAGGCUUGAAGGGACUCCAUUUUAGGAAGGCGCCUUCUCUGCUGCGUGUCUGCUGGGCCCCAUUUACUCGUGUUCCACUUUUUGCCUCUGAAUAAGCCAAAGAAGCUAAUGUUCCCACUUCAAGGGGAAAGCGAGAAAGUGAAUCAUCCUCUGAGUUUUCUCCCAGGCCCCAAGCACACGAUAACAUCUAAGAAGAGCUGGAUCCCAAACACCUUCCAGGACAUUAGUUUCGAACAGACCUCAGCCGAGACUGGCAUCGUACCCCACCUUCGAAAGGCCUCGAAGCAUCAGUGGGCACCAGGCUGUAAUGCCUAAGCAUUAAGAAUCUGCAGGACUGCUUCCAGGGAGCAGAAUUCUCACCUCCUACUAAUGAGCCACUUCUAGCUGAGUGCCCAAACUUGUCUGAGCGGAGUGCGUUUAACCCUUGUGGCGGUUUGUCUCUUAAGCAUAGUACAGCAGUACGACGCGGUGAGUGAUGUGGUGGUAACGACCCCAAAUCUGUGCCUUCAAACCACAAAGGUUUGCUUUUUGCUCUCGCUCCAUGUUCAUCACGGGGUGCUGGGGUCUCUGCUCCAUAGCCGUGGGGACCCAACAUCUGGAGGCCCACUGGGGGUAGGAAAGAUGGAGACACUCUGGCUCUCAAAUGCUUUUGCGUGGAAGUGACCCCCAUCAGCUCUCAAGUCCACUGGCCGUGGACCAUGCCUACCUUCACGGUGGGAGUGGGAACAGAACCUGGUCACCAGCAACAUCCACACAAGUGGCAAAGAGCAUCAGCCACUCACAGCACGGACUCUACCACUGCUAACCCCUGAGGGCCCCCAGGUUUCUUCAGGCUCCACCGCCGACUGACUGGCUCUUACCUUGCACCCCUGGUCUAACUAUCCAAGAGAGAAUGUGAUGGGGCCAGUGAAUUAACGUCACCUUUAUUUGCACUGGACUUCUGAAGGUUUCCUGGGGCAUGGGGCAUGUGUGUGUGUGUGUGUGUGUGUGUGUGUGUGGUCUGUGGGGGGUGAGGGUUUGGUGUGUGGGGGGGUGAGUAUGGUAUGUGUCUGUGUGUGUCUGUGUGUGUCCUCUGUGGCUCCAGCUGGUGGGCAGAGGUCAUGUGGGAGGGUCAUAUGGUUCCUGCAGGAGACCUUUGCUUCAGGUAUGGCCAAGGCCUUUUCCCUCAGAAGGGGCUGCACACACUUGAGAGGGUCCAUUCUUCAGGUGCUUAAAGAACAUUAACCUGGGGACACCUGGAUGGCUCAGUGGGUUAAACAUCCAACUCUAGAUUUCAGCUCAGGUCAUGAUCUCAUGGUUUGUGAGUUCAAGCCCCGCGAUGGCAGUGUGGGGUCUGCUUGGGAUUCUCUCUCCCACUCUCUGCCCCCCCCAGCACCCAAGUAAGUAAAUAAAUUAAAAAAAAAAUCAUAAAGAACA
ensembl:lncRNA